ACGAGGACCCAUUGGAGGGCAAGUCUGGUGCCAGCAGCCGCGGUAACUCCAGCUCCAAUAGCGUAUAUUAAAGUUGUUGCGGUUAAAAAGCUCGUAGUUGGAUUCCUGUCUUCGGCCGGGCGGGUGAAAAGUUGAUAAAACUGAUCACUUGUCUUUGACUCGGCGGUGUCAAAGCCGCCGAGUCUUUAACGGUCGGACAAUACCGUCGGUGAGUGCCGGCUUGCGGCUUCGGCCGCGAUCGACACUCGUAAUCGACCGGGGUGCUCUUCAUCGGGUGUCCCGGCCGACCGACAUUUUUUU
rnacentral:rRNA from 1 species